rnacentral:rRNA from 1 species
GCCUACGGGGGGCAGCAGUGGGGGAUAUUGCACAAUGGGGGGAACCCUGAUGCAGCGACGCCGCGUGGGUGAAGAAGCGCCUCGGCGCGUAAAGCCCUGUCAGCAGGGAAGAAAAUGACGGUACCUGAAGAAGAAGCCCCGGCUAACUACGUGCCAGCAGCCGCGGUAAUACGUAGGGGGCAAGCGUUAUCCGGAUUUACUGGGUGUAAAGGGGGCGCAGACGGCGAUGCAAGCCAGGAGUGAAAGCCCGGGGCCCAACCCCGGGACUGCUCUUGGAACUGCGUAGCUGGAGUGCAGGAGGGGCG